rnacentral:rRNA from 1 species
GACGAACGCUGGCGGCGUGCUUAACACAUGCAAGUCGAACGGAAAGGCCCUGCUUUUGUGGGGUGCUCGAGUGGCGAACGGGUGAGUAACACGUGAGUAACCUGCCCUUGACUUUGGGAUAACUUCAGGAAACUGGGGCUAAUACCGGAUAUGAUCUCCUGCUGCAUGGUGGGGGUUGGAAAGUUUCGGCGGUUGGGGAUGGACUCGCGGCUUAUCAGCUUGUUGGUGAGGUAGUGGCUUACCAAGGCUUUGAAGGGUAGCCGGCCUGAGAGGGUGGACGGCGACCAUGGUACUGAGGGACGGCCCAGACUGCUACGGGAGGCAGCAGUCGGGAAUAUGGCACAAUGGGGGGAAGCCAGAUGCAGCAACGUCGCGAGCGUGAUGACCGGCUACGGGUUGUAAACCGCUGUGGCCUGUGACGAAGCGGGAGUGACGGUAAUGGGUAAAGAAGCACCGGCUAACUACGUG